GAAGUUGGAUAGUUGAAUCACAUGGUUGAAUGUUGAAUUGAAUAAUAUUGAAAUUGAACGCUGGAAUCCUGGCACGCUGCAUGGCUGCACGCUGAUUUCGUUGUGUUGUACAGUAAUUUUACGUGUUUUAUCAAUAUUAUCAGAAUCUACAUCCACUGAAGAUUGAUAUAAAAAAUUUCGACCAAAGAGUUUGGAAACUCCAAUAAUAACUUCUCAAGUGUUGGACAUCUUUCCAAGAUCCUUUCUCAUAUUUGAGAGGGAUAUCCAAUAUUCUCAAGAGGAUAUUAAAUAUCAGACAUCUAGUUUCAAGGCUCCUACCCAGACCAUACCAGGUAUAUCUACCUAGUUGGCACUCAUCUUGGUUAUUGUAUCCUACCAUCUUCAGUCUACAUAAUCAGAUGACUAUUUGAGUGCUGUUGAUUUCUGCAAGAAUUGUCUAUUAGUGCAUACUUCGAACGUUUCUUCAAUAAUCAACAAUAUCUUCAAGAUUCGCCCAAUCCGAUUUAUCAAUCUAAUCCAACAUCAAACCUCAACUUCAACAUCAACGUCAUUCAUCAAAUGUUCAUUUGACGCAGCUAUUCGGUGAUGUCGUCAGCUACAAAGAAGAAGCAUGUGAUUGCGGAGCUCCUGCAGGCAGAGCUGAGAUGUCCUCACGAGGACGAAGCGAUCUGCAGAAUUGUGGCUUGUCCCGG
rnacentral:misc_RNA from 1 species